rnacentral:tmRNA from 1 species
GGGGGCGUAAAGGUUUCGACGGGGACUUUGAAGUGUGAUAAGCGAGCGGAGCACGGCGUGAGCUCCAUAACCGUCGCCACGUUUAAAUAUAAACGCAAGAAAUAACAUUACAGUUUCUACUAACAAUAGCGAACUGGUAGCUGCUUAAGUCAGCUUCUGUCCACCGGGUGAGUACCACCGCGGCUCCCGCUUGGGCAUCGAUGAGCGGUGAACGAUAUAAGGGAGCGUCCGUGCCCUUAUAUUGUAUUCGGACUACUCUGGCUCUCAGCCCGUUUAUCGGCGGUCAGUCAGGGAAAGCUUAAUAGGUAAAAUACGCUCGUAGAAAGUUGCAUGAAUGAGUUUUCGGACGCGAGUUCAAUUCUCGCCGCCUCCACCA